GCCUAAUACAUGCAAAGUCGAGCGAAGCGGGAAACUAACAGAUUUACUUCGGUAAAUGACGUUGGGAAAAGCGAGCGGCGGAUGGGUGAGUAACACGUGGGGGAAUCUGCCCCCACUAGUCUGGGAUACCACUUGGAAACAGGUGCUAAUACGGGAUAAGAAAGCAGAUCGCAUGAUCAGCUUUUAAAAGGGCGGCGUAAGCUGUCGCUAUGGGAUGGCCCCGCGGUGCAUUAGCUAGUUGGUAAGGUAAAGGCUUACCAAGGCGAUGAUGCAUAGCCGAGUUGAGAGACUGAUCGGCCACAUUGGGACUGAGACACGGCCCAAACUCCUACGGGAGGCAGCAGUAGGGAAUCUUCCACAAUGGACGCAAGUCUGAUGGAGCAACGCCGCGUGAGUGAAGAAGGUUUUCGGAUCGUAAAGCUCUGUUGUUGGUGAAGAAGGAUAGAGGUAGUAACUGGCCUUUAUUUGACGGUAAUCAACCAGAAAGUCACGGGCUAACUACGUGCCAGCAGCCGCGGUAAAU
rnacentral:rRNA from 1 species